AAGCUCAGUUGGUAGAAUAUGAGACUCUUAAUCUCAGGGUUGUGGGUUCAAGCCCCACUAUA
rnacentral:tRNA from 1 species